GGAUGAACCCGCGGCCUAUCAGCUAGUUGGUGAGGUAGAAGCUCACCAAGGCGACGACGGGUAGCCGGCCUGAGAGGGCGACCGGCCACACUGGGACUGAGACACGGCCCAGACUCCUACGGGAGGCAGCAGUGGGGAAUAUUGCACAAUGGGCGAAAGCCUGAUGCAGCGACGCCGCGUGAGGGAUGACGGCCUUCGGGUUGUAAACCUCUUUCAGCAGGGAAGAAGCGAAAGUGACGGUACCUGCAGAAGAAGCGCCGGCUAACUACGUGCCAGCAGCCGCGGUAAUACGUAGGGCGCAAGCGUUGUCCGGAAUUAUUGGGCGUAAAGAGCUCGUAGGCGGCUUGUCACGUCGGUUGUGAAAGCCCGGGGCUUAACCCCGGGUCUGCAGUCGAUACGGGCAGGCUAGAGUGUGGUAGGGGAGAUCGGAAUUCCUGGUGUAGCGGUGAAAUGCGCAGAUAUCAGGAGGAACACCGGUGGCGAAGGCGGAUCUCUGGGCCAUUACUGACGCUGAGGAGCGAAAGCGUGGGGAGCGAACAGGAUUAGAUACCCUGGUAGUCCACGCCGUAAACGGUGGGAACUAGGUGUUGGCGACAUUCCACGUCGUCGGUGCCGCAGCUAACGCAUUAAGUUCCCCGCCUGGGGAGUACGGCCGCAAGGCUAAACUCAAAGGAAUUGACGGGGGCCCGCACAAGCAGCGGAGCAUGUGGCUUAAUUCGACGCAACGCGAAGAACCUUACCAAGGCUUGACAUAUACCGGAAAGCAUCAGAGAUGGUGCCCCCUUGUGGUCGGUAUACAGGUGGUGCAUGGCUGUCGUCAGCUCGUGUCG
rnacentral:rRNA from 1 species